GAUCCGUUACUUCGGGAAAAGGAUUGGUUCUAAGGGCCGCGUCACACAGGCCGAGAUACGUGUUGGCGCAGUUGGAGGCUAGUUUCUUUGCUGCUUUUUGUGCUUCGGUGCGCAUUUUUGUGGAGCUACUGGGCUCUGACCACGAUCGAUCGUGGUUGGUUUUAGCUGUAAGUGUUACGUUGCUAGCAAUGCGCCUGGACUCGCUCUGCAUUGCGUCAAGCGGCUGUGCUUCCAUUGUUUGGCGUGCGACGGCGAACUUAGAACUGACAC
rnacentral:ncRNA from 1 species